GCAACUGCAGAAAAUAAUUUUGGCUUAUCCGUCUCUCCAAACAGACUAUAUAUAAUUUUUAAUAUCUGAAUUUUAAAGGCAAAGACCAAGAUGGUUGAGGAUUUGUUAAUGACAACAUAUUUAGUAUAAAUACUGCUCUAUGAAUCACUAUACUGGUAGGAGCAGGAAGAAGUGGGGAGAUGGAUAAGAGAAAACUGGAGAGUAGGUGGGAGAAAAAGAGGAAUGUGUGGGCUGUUUGAGAAUGUUUCAGGCAAGCACCUGGGAUAAGGUGCGUCUCAAACCCAUGCUGAUUCUUCAUCAUGAUAACAGAAGAGGUUUCUGGUAAGGCAGAGAAAAGCGAGUGAUGCUGUUAACAUUGUAUCCACCAGAGUGAUGCUAAAAGAGAAGCAACCUCAUCCACAGCCAAUAUGUGUUGAGUGCCUGCCAUACGCCUAGCCUUGCUAUAGGCACUUGGGAUUCAGCUUCCCAACUUACGGAGUUUCCAUUCUAUUGGGGAAUAUAGGCAAAAGAGAAAUUAAAAGCCCUGUUACAUUGAUUUUAUGGCUUCUCCUAUCCCUCAUU
rnacentral:lncRNA from 10 species